rnacentral:rRNA from 1 species
UCGGUUGAUCCUGCCGGAGGCUACUGCUAUCGGGGUUCGAUUAAGCCAUGCGAGUUAAAUGUUCUUCGUGAACAUAGCGAACUGCUCAGUAACACGUGGAUAACCUACCCUUAGGACCGGAAUAACCCCGGGAAACUGGGGAUAAUACCGGAUAAGCCAUAGACGCUGGAAUGCCUUAUGGUUCAAAGCUCCGGCGCCUAAGGAUGGAUCUGCGGUCUAUCAGGUUGUAGUGGGUGUAACGUACCUACUAGCCGACGACGGAUACGGGUUGUGAGAGCAAGAGCCCGGAGAUGGAUUCUGAGACACGAAUCCAGGCCCUACGGGGUGCAGCAGGCGCGAACACUUUACAAUGCGCGAAAGCGUGAUGGGGUUAGCCCGAGUGCUAUCCGAAAAGGAUGGCUUUUCCUUGGCGUAAAAACCCAGGGGAAUAAAGGGGGGGCAAGACUGGUGUCAGCCGCCGCGGUAAUACCAGCUCCCUGAGUGGUAAGGACGAUUAUUUGGCUUAAAGCGUCCGUAGCCGGCUUAGUGAGUCUUUUGUUAAAUCCGAUGAUUCAAUCAUUGAACUGCAAGAGAUACUGCUAUGCUAGAGGACGGGAGAGGUCGACGGUAGUCCAGGGGUAGGGGUGAAAUCCUAUAAUCCUUGNAGGACCACCAGUGGCGAAGGCGGUCGACCAGAACGUGCCUGACGGUGAGGGACGAAAGCUGGGGGAGCGAACCGGAUUAGAUACCCGGGUAGUCCCAGCUGUAAACGAUGCGGGCUAGGUGUNGGGCAGCUACNAGCUGCUCCUGU